AUUGAACGCUGGCGGCAGGCCUAACACAUGCAAGUCGAAUGGUAACAGGAAACAGCUUGCUGUUUCGCUGACGAGUGGCGGACGGGUGAGUAAUGUCUGGGAAACUGCCUGAUGGAGGGGGAUAACUACUGGAAACGGUAGCUAAUACCGCAUAACGUCGAAAGACCAAAGAGGGGGACCUUCGGGCCUCUUGCCAUCAGAUGUGCCCAGAUGGGAUUAGCUAGUAGGUGGGGUAACGGCUCACCUAGGCGACGAUCCCUAGCUGGUCUGAGAGGAUGACCAGCCACACUGGAACUGAGACACGGUCCAGACUCCUACGGGAGGCAGCAGUGGGGAAUAUUGCACAAUGGGCGCAAGCCUGAUGCAGCCAUGCCGCGUGUAUGAAGAAGGCCUUCGGGUUGUAAAGUACUUUCAGCGGGGAGGAAGGGAGUAAAGUUAAUACCUUUGCUCAUUGACGUUACCCGCAGAAGAAGCACCGGCUAACUCCGUG
rnacentral:rRNA from 1 species